AUUAAAAUUCAUGCUAACCUUAACAAGCCCAAUCCCAUCAGAUCUCGGAACCUAAGCAGGGUCAGGCCUGGCUAGUACUUGGAUGGGAGUCCACCUAGGAAGACCAGGUGCUGUAGGUA
rnacentral:rRNA from 1 species